rnacentral:rRNA from 1 species
UACGGAGGGUGCGAGCGUUGUUCGGAAUUACUGGGCGUAAAGGGCUCGUAGGUGGCCAACUAAGUCAGACGUGAAAUCCCUCGGCUUAACCGGGGAACUGCGUCUGAUACUGGAUGGCUUGAGUUCGGGAGAGGGAUGCGGAAUUCCAGGUGUAGCGGUGAAAUGCGUAGAUAUCUGGAGGAACACCGGUGGCGAAGGCGGCAUCCUGGACCGACACUGACGCUGAGGAGCGAAAGCCAGGGGAGCAAACGGG